GGGUAUAGCUCAGUGGUAGAACACUUGCCUAGCAUGUGCAAGGCCCUGAGUUCCAUCCCCAGCACCCA
rnacentral:tRNA from 1 species